rnacentral:rRNA from 1 species
GGUUAAGCGACUAAGCGUACACGGUGGAUGCCCUGGCAGUCAGAGGCGAUGAAGGACGUGCUAAUCUGCGAUAAGCGUCGGUAAGGUGAUAUGAACCGUUAUAACCGGCGAUUUCCGAAUGGGGAAACCCAGUGUGUUUCGACACACUAUCAUUAACUGAAUCCAUAGGUUAAUGAGGCGAACCGGGGGAACUGAAACAUCUAAGUACCCCGAGGAAAAGAAAUCAACCGAGAUUCCCCCAGUAGCGGCGAGCGAACGGGGAGCAGCCCAGAGCCUGAAUCAGUGUGUGUGUUAGUGGAAGCGUCUGGAAAGGCGCGCGAUACAGGGUGACAGCCCCGUACACAAAAAUGCACAUGCUGUGAGCUCGAUGAGUAGGGCGGGACACGUGGUAUCCUGUCUGAAUAUGGGGGGACCAUCCUCCAAGGCUAAAUACUCCUGACUGACCGAUAGUGAACCAGUACCGUGAGGGAAAGGCGAAAAGAACCCCGGCGAGGGGAGUGAAAAAGAACCUGAAACCGUGUACGUACAAGCAGUGGGAGCACGCUUAGGCGUGUGACUGCGUACCUUUUGUAUAAUGGGUCAGCGACUUAUAUUCUGUAGCAAGGUUAACCGAAUAGGGGAGCCGAAGGGAAACCGAGUCUUAACUGGGCGUUAAGUUGCAGGGUAUAGACCCGAAACCCGGUGAUCUAGCCAUGGGCAGGUUGAAGGUUGGGUAACACUAACUGGAGGACCGAACCGACUAAUGUUGAAAAAUUAGCGGAUGACUUGUGGCUGGGGGUGAAAGGCCAAUCAAACCGGGAGAUAGCUGGUUCUCCCCGAAAGCUAUUUAGGUAGCGCCUCGUGAAUUCAUCUCCGGGGGUAGAGCACUGUUUCGGCAAGGGGGUCAUCCCGACUUACCAACCCGAUGCAAACUGCGAAUACCGGAGAAUGUUAUCACGGGAGACACACGGCGGGUGCUAACGUCCGUCGUGAAGAGGGAAACAACCCAGACCGCCAGCUAAGGUCCCAAAGUCAUGGUUAAGUGGGAAACGAUGUGGGAAGGCCCAGACAGCCAGGAUGUUGGCUUAGAAGCAGCCAUCAUUUAAAGAAAGCGUAAUAGCUCACUGGUCGAGUCGGCCUGCGCGGAAGAUGUAACGGGGCUAAACCAUGCACCGAAGCUGCGGCAGCGACGCUUAUGCGUUGUUGGGUAGGGGAGCGUUCUGUAAGCCUGUGAAGGUGUACUGUGAGGUAUGCUGGAGGUAUCAGAAGUGCGAAUGCUGACAUAAGUAACGAUAAAGCGGGUGAAAAGCCCGCUCGCCGGAAGACCAAGGGUUCCUGUCCAACGUUAAUCGGGGCAGGGUGAGUCGACCCCUAAGGCGAGGCCGAAAGGCGUAGUCGAUGGGAAACAGGUUAAUAUUCCUGUACUUGGUGUUACUGCGAAGGGGGGACGGAGAAGGCUAUGUUGGCCGGGCGACGGUUGUCCCGGUUUAAGCGUGUAGGCUGGUUUUCCAGGCAAAUCCGGAAAAUCAAGGCUGAGGCGUGAUGACGAGGCACUACGGUGCUGAAGCAACAAAUGCCCUGCUUCCAGGAAAAGCCUCUAAGCAUCAGGUAACAUCAAAUCGUACCCCAAACCGACACAGGUGGUCAGGUAGAGAAUACCAAGGCGCUUGAGAGAACUCGGGUGAAGGAACUAGGCAAAAUGGUGCCGUAACUUCGGGAGAAGGCACGCUGAUACGUAGGUGAAGUCCCUCGCGGAUGGAGCUGAAAUCAGUCGAAGAUACCAGCUGGCUGCAACUGUUUAUUAAAAACACAGCACUGUGCAAACACGAAAGUGGACGUAUACGGUGUGACGCCUGCCCGGUGCCGGAAGGUUAAUUGAUGGGGUCAGCGCAAGCGAAGCUCUUGAUCGAAGCCCCGGUAAACGGCGGCCGUAACUAUAACGGUCCUAAGGUAGCGAAAUUCCUUGUCGGGUAAGUUCCGACCUGCACGAAUGGCGUAAUGAUGGCCAGGCUGUCUCCACCCGAGACUCAGUGAAAUUGAACUCGCUGUGAAGAUGCAGUGUACCCGCGGCAAGACGGAAAGACCCCGUGAACCUUUACUAUAGCUUGACACUGAACAUUGAGCCUUGAUGUGUAGGAUAGGUGGGAGGCUUGGAAGUGUGGACGCCAGUCUGCAUGGAGCCGACCUUGAAAUACCACCCUUUAAUGUUUGAUGUUCUAACGUUGACCCGUAAUCCGGGUUGCGGACAGUGUCUGGUGGGUAGUUUGACUGGGGCGGUCUCCUCCUAAAGAGUAACGGAGGAGCACGAAGGUUGGCUAAUCCUGGUCGGACAUCAGGAGGUUAGUGCAAUGGCAUAAGCCAGCUUGACUGCGAGCGUGACGGCGCGAGCAGGUGCGAAAGCAGGUCAUAGUGAUCCGGUGGUUCUGAAUGGAAGGGCCAUCGCUCAACGGAUAAAAGGUACUCCGGGGAUAACAGGCUGAUACCGCCCAAGAGUUCAUAUCGACGGCGGUGUUUGGCACCUCGAUGUCGGCUCAUCACAUCCUGGGGCUGAAGUAGGUCCCAAGGGUAUGGCUGUUCGCCAUUUAAAGUGGUACGCGAGCUGGGUUUAGAACGUCGUGAGACAGUUCGGUCCCUAUCUGCCGUGGGCGCUGGAGAACUGAGGGGGGCUGCUCCUAGUACGAGAGGACCGGAGUGGACGCAUCACUGGUGUUCGGGUUGUCAUGCCAAUGGCACUGCCCGGUAGCUAAAUGCGGAAGAGAUAAGUGCUGAAAGCAUCUAAGCACGAAACUUGCCCCGAGAUGAGUUCUCCCUGACUCCUUGAGAGUCCUGAAGGAACGUUGAAGACGACGACGUUGAUAGGCCGGGUGUGUAAGCGCAGCGAUGCGUUGAGCUAACCGGUACUAAUGAACCGUGAGGCUUAACCUU